rnacentral:rRNA from 1 species
GAAGUGUGGACGCCAGUCUGCAUGGAGCCGACCUUGAAAUACCACCCUUUAAUGUUUGAUGUUCUAACGUGGACCCGUGAUCCGGGUUGCGGACAGUGUCUGGUGGGUAGUUUGACUGGGGCGGUCUCCUCCUAAAGAGUAACGGAGGAGCACGAAGGUUGGCUAAUCCUGGUCGGACAUCAGGAGGUUAGUGCAAUGGCAUAAGCCAGCUUGACUGCGAGCGUGACGGCGCGAGCAGGUGCGAAAGCAGGUCAUAGUGAUCCGGUGGUUCUGAAUGGAAGGGCCAUCGCUCAACGGAUAAAAGGUACUCCGGGGAUAACAGGCUGAUACCGCCCAAGAGUUCAUAUCGACGGCGGUGUUUGGCACCUCGAUGUCGGCUCAUCACAUCCUGGGGCUGAAGUAGGUCCCAAGGGUAUGGCUGUUCGCCAUUUAAAGUGGUACGCGAGCUGGGUUUAGAACGUCGUGAGACAGUUCGGUCCCUAUCUGCCGUGGGCGCUGGAGAAUUGAGGGGGGCUGCUCCUAGUACGAGAGGACCGGAGUGGACGCAUCACUGGUGUUCGGGUUGUCAUGCCAAUGGCACUGCCCGGUAGCUAAAUGCGGAAGAGAUAAGUGCUGAAAGCAUCUAAGCACGAAACUUGCCCCGAGAUGAGUUCUCCCUGACUCCUUGAGAGUCCUGAAGGAACGUUGAAGACGACGACGUUGAUAGGCCGGGUGUGUAAGCGCAGCGAUGCGUUGAGCUAACCGGUACUAAUGAACCGUGAGG